rnacentral:rRNA from 1 species
CAGCAGUAGCCGCGGUAAUACAGAGGGUGCGAGCGUUAAUCGGAUUUACUGGGCGUAAAGCGUGCGUAGGCGGCUUCUUAAGUCGGAUGUGAAAUCCCUGAGCUUAACUUAGGAAUUGCAUUCGAUACUGGGAAGCUAGAGUAUGGGAGAGGAUGGUAGAAUUCCAGGUGUAGCGGUGAAAUGCGUAGAGAUCUGGAGGAAUACCGAUGGCGAAGGCAGCCAUCUGGCCUAAUACUGACGCUGAGGUACGAAAGCAUGGGGAGCAAACAGGAUUAGAUACCCCGGUAGUCCCUGUCUCUUAUAA